rnacentral:rRNA from 1 species
CACCAGGUUGAUUCUGCCUGACGUGGACACUUGCCUUGAAGAGUAAGCCAUGCAAGCUUGUGAAUAAAUCCUGAAACAGUGAACGGCUCAGUAGAACACAUUUCAUCUACCCAAGUUAAAAAUAACCAUGGGAAACUAUGGCUAAAUAUAAUUUGGAUGAGAGUGUGACCUAUCAGCUAGUAGGUACGGUAAGAGCGUACCUAGGCUAUGACGGGUAACGGGGAAUCAGAGUUCGAUUCCGGAGAGGGAGCCUGAGAGAUGGCUACUACGUCCAAGGAUGGCAGCAGGCGCGAAACUUACCCAAUGAACAUUGAGGUAGUUACGAGGCGUACCUAUGUAAUAUAAUUAUAUAGGGAUGAGGUAUGAUUUCAAAUCAUGCACGACAUACUGGAGGGCAAGGCUGGUGCCAGCAGCUGCGGUAAUUCCAGCUCCAGUAGUGUCUAUGUAAAUUGUUGCGGUUAAAACGUGCGUAGUCUGAUUUGCGAGAUCUAAAGUAAAGAUGCUUUUAUCUAAAAGUAGAAUAUUUUAGAGAUCAAAAAUCUUGAGACAGAGGAGAGGUAACGAAAUUCGAUGGCGAGAGGUGAAAAUUGAUGACCCAUCGAGGAGAAACAGAGGCGAAAGCGGUUACCAGAAGCUGUUCUGACGAUCAAGCACGUGAGCAGGAGUAUCGAAGGCGAUUAGACACCGUCGUAGUUCCUUGCAGUAAACGAUGCCCACACUGAUGUGCUUAACGCAUGUCAGACGCAAAAGUUAAAGUGAGGCUCCGGGGAUAGUACGGUCGCAAGAUUGAAACUUGAAGAAAUUGACGGAAGGACACCACCAGGAGUGGAGUGUGCGGGUUAAUUUGACUCAACGCGGGAAAACUUACCAGUACAGAUUACUAUCGUAUGAAGGAAUACCUGAUGAUGUAAUACGUGGUGCAUGGCCGUUCUUAACACGUGAAGUGAUUCCUCGUGUCAAAUCAGCUAACGCGUGAGAGGCGAGUCUUAUUUUAUAAAUAAGAGACGGCAUAGGCAACUAUGAGGAAGCAACGCCCAAUAACAGGUCCGUGAUGCCCGUAGAUGUUCUGGGCUCCACGCGCACUACAAUUAUAAAUACUAUUUUGUAAUUUAUAAUCAGUAGGGAUUGUUUGUUGUAAAACUUACAUGAACGUGGAAUUCCUAGUAUAUAGAUGUAAGCAACGUCUAUUGAAUAUUGUCCCUGUUCUUUGUACACACCGCCCGUCGUUAUCUAAGAUGGUUAUUAGGGGGAAGCUGAUAUAUUAUAUCAGAAGACUUCUGGUAACUAGAUUGGAUGUAAGUCGUAACAUGGUUGCAGUAGGUGAACCUGCCGCAGAUCAGUA